GUCAGUCGAAAUAUCAAAACCUGAAAUUUUCUGAAUAAUUUUUACAAAUUUUGGUAAAUAAAGUAGUUUGAGCAUUAAAUUGUUAAUCCAUAGUGGGAAUGCAUAUUUAGCCACAUACAUCAAGCAAAUUAGGCGCCAGGAAAAGUAUAUUUAUGAGAAAUUUUUCUAAAAGUAAAAAUAGUUGUAAACAGUGAAUAAGAGUAACAGGGAUAGAAGAUUAUAUUAUGCUGAUACAGAGACUGGAGAUUUUUUCCCCUGAAUCCUGGUGUAACAACAUGUAGCGUGCUUAAAGGUCAGAUAUGCCAGUUUGUGGUAUUUGGAGCUCUUACUAGUUAAAUUCAUUCAUUUCAUUUGAAUUGAUGUAGUAUCUACAUUAAUUUUAUUAAUCUAAAUGAUAUUUAUUUGAAAUGUGUGUUUAUACCUCAGGUGAUAAAUACCUAUUGUCUUUAGUUACUGAAUGAAGUUUUAUAAUAAUAAUAAUUAUAAAUAUAAACAAUUUUCUGUG